ACUUGUAUCGUCAUGAGCGUAUUGUGGGUUUCCUGUGUUGCAUACCUGACUGGUGGUAUCGUUUGGUUGAUCGAAGUCCCUUUUCGUCUUGUGUUGCCUUUGCGAAGCAUGACGAACCUUGAAGCAGUCUCUAUGUUCCACCAUGUUGAUGCUAGUGUUUCGAUGUUGUGGCCCAUUGAGUUUGCUUGGUCUUGUGGAUACAGAACAUGAUUUGGGCAUAGGGUCACUUGUGACUCUUGUUUUGUCCUUUACMAGUGUUCUUUAUAACGACGGUUCAUGCGCGCCUAGGCUCGUACCUGCGUGAUGUUCUUGUCGAAGAGGAAUGCUACCUGGUUGAUCCUGCCAGUAGUCAUAUGCUUGUCUCAAAGAUUAAGCCAUGCAUGUGUAAGUA
rnacentral:misc_RNA from 1 species